AGUGAACGCUGGCGGUAGGCCUAACACAUGCAAGUCGAACGGCAGCACAGUAAGAGCUUGCUCUUACGGGUUGCGGGUGGCGGACGGGUGAGGAAUACAUCGGAAUCUACUUUUUCGUGGGGGAUAACGUAGGGAAACUUAAGCUAAUACCGCAUCCGACCUACGGGUGAAAGCAGGGGAUCUUCGGACCUUGCGCGAUUGAAUGAGCCGAUGUCGGAUUAGCUAGUUGGCGGGGUAAAGGCCCACCCAGGCGACGAUCCGUAGCUGGUCUGAGAGGAUGAUCGGCCGCACUAGAACGGGGACACGGACCAGGCGCCUGCGAGAGGCAGCAGUGGGGAAUAUUAGGCAAUGGUCGCAAGCCUGAUCCAGCCAUACCGCGUGGGUGAAGAAGGCCUUCGGGUUGUAAUGCCCUUUUGUUGGGAAAGAAAAGCAUCAGGUUAAUACCCCGCGGUACUGACGGUACCCAAAGAAGAAGCACCGGCUAACUUCGUG
rnacentral:rRNA from 1 species